AAUGGCCGCCACCAAUAAACCACUGUUUCUGCUCUUCUUCAUCACCUUACUCCUUUCAGCUCAACUCCUACAAGGAAUAGAAACAGAAGGACGGGUGUCUCAAUCCUCUGAUCAAACCCAGAAACAACAACAAAGUUUGGAGGGAAAGAAAGAGCGUUGGAUCAGGAAGAGGAAUAAUAUGAGUAGGAGGAUGAUGAUUGGAUCCACAGCACCAACUUGUACUUACAAUGAAUGCAGAGGAUGUAAACACAAGUGCGUAGCCGAGCAAGUCCCUGUGGAAGGCAAUGAUCCUCUCAAUAGCCCAUACCAUUACAGAUGUAUCUGUCAUAGAUAAACCACCAUCAUCAUCAUAGUUAGCUUUUGGAUUAAUCAUAUUAAGUGGCAUGAUGAUCCUCUCCAGUCAUGAUGCAGUCAUCCAUCUGUGAAGAGAAAUUCAGAUAUAGAAGAGUAAGACUUAUCUGUAUGAGACUUGCAUCUCUUUGAUAGCUAGACUCUAUUUUAUAUUUGCUUUUAGCAGUUUUGGGUCCUAAUAAUAAUAAUAAUCCUUCUGCCUUUUAUUGGCAGCGUGGUUUCAGUGUUUUUGAGAGCAAAUGAUAAGCUGUAAAAUUUUUGCACAUUUGGUGUGAUUGGUUGGUGUAAGUUUGAUUACUGUUCGAAGAACUAGUGUUGUUUAUCUUAA